rnacentral:misc_RNA from 1 species
CUUUAACAAUUUUUUUCUAUCUAAAUCUUACGCAUGCUUGGGUGCAGAUAAGGCAGAGAGAUUAUUGGCAGAACAGCUGGAUACGGAUCCCAGCUGGUUGUGUUUCCCGAAGCAUUUGUUGGCGGUUACCCUCGUGGUUCUAUUUUUGGUGCUUCCAUUGGUAAUAGAACUCCCAAAGGCAGAGAAGGGUUCCGCAAGUAUCAUGCUGCAGCCAUUGAUGUCACUGGUCAUGAAGUGGAUCGCUUGGCAGCUAU